rnacentral:rRNA from 1 species
GACGAACGCUGGCGGCGUGCUUAACACAUGCAAGUCGAGCGGUAAGGCCCUUCGGGGUACACGAGCGGCGAACGGGUGAGUAACACGUGGGUGACCUGCCCUCCACUUCGGGAUAAGCCUGGGAAACCGGGUCUAAUACCGGAUAGGACCUCUGGAUGCAUGUCUGGUGGUGGAUAGUCUGUGUCUUGACUGAUGCUGGCGGUGGGGGAUGGGCCCGCGG